AUUGAACGCUGGCGGCAGGCCUAACACAUGCAAGUCGAGCGGAGGAAGGGAGCUUGCUCCUGGAUUCAGCGGCGGACGGGUGAGUAAUGCCUAGGAAUCUGCCUGGUAGUGGGGGAUAACGUCCGGAAACGGGCGCUAAUACCGCAUACGUCCUGAGGGAGAAAGUGGGGGAUCUUCGGACCUCACGCUAUCAGAUGAGCCUAGGUCGGUUUAGCUAGUUGGUGGGGUAAAGGCCUACCAAGGCGACGAUCCGUAACUGGUCUGAGAGGAUGAUCAGUCACACUGGAACUGAGACACGGUCCAGACUCCUACGGGAGGCAGCAGUGGGGAAUAUUGGACAAUGGGCGAAAGCCUGAUCCAGCCAUGCCGCGUGUGUGAAGAAGGUCUUCGGAUUGUAAAGCACUUUAAGUUGGGAGGAAGGGCAGUAAGUUAAUACCUUGCUGUUUUGACGUUACCAACAGAAUAAGCACCGGCUAACUUCGUG
rnacentral:rRNA from 1 species